ensembl:lncRNA
GGCUCUGAAAGCAGGUGACUGUUUGGGGGAACUCAGGGACAGAGCCCCCAUUGUGCCCGCCCCGGAGCCGCCUCAAUGGAGCUCUCGGGCACAAAGGGGCUUUGACAAUGGGCAGGACAUUAGUAUGCAGAGCCAGCCCCUCGGCCCUCUCCCUGUCCUACAGCCCAGGGGCGGAGGGUGGGGGGAUGCUGGCCUCGCGCGCCGGGUGGAGGUAGGGGGUGGGGCAGGGCUGAGGCUGAAGAGAUCUUAGCCCACAGGGGCUCCCCUGGGGGCACUGCCCAGGAAACAGGGGAGGGAGACUAGACCAAGGCCCCCAAACCUGCCACUCGCCAGAAAGGACUUUCCAAGUGGAAAAAGCCACCGGGGCACCGGGAGGGCUGGGGGAGGGGCUGGGGGAGGCCAGGCUCCUCCGUCCCAGGCUGGACUCUGGAAAGAAGCACGUGGGCAGCCUGAGCCCCACCCACUUUGGGCCUCAGUUUUCCCAUCUACUCAAAGAACUAUGUGGGCAGGAGAGGAAAAAACGGAGCAAUAGAGAACAAGGUCUCAAAACUAAGCCCGGCUUGUCUCAGAGAGGUCAGGCUUGAGGUCCGACCCUCCAGAACGCUUCUGCUCAGGGUGUGUGCUUUGGGUUUGGGGUAUUUGGGCUUCUGACAGUGUGGUGCCUGCAGCCUAGCCCAAGGAGAUUUGACCGACAGACCAAAGAGCCGGGACCAGCUCCUCCCCAGUGUGUGUGUCCCUCCGUCCCAUCUGUGAAGGGGCCCAUCAGCCCCUCCCCCACAGCCACUGGCACCUUCAGCACCACCAGCUGCUUUUCCCAAGGUGCAUGUACUGCCCUGUGGCACCACAGCACAAGGGGUAGGUUCAGAGCCGCCAGGAGAGGGACCAGGGGUCCGGAGUGCUGGGGGAGCUGAGAGGAGGUGACAUCUGGGAAGGGGCCCGCGGGCAAUGAGAGGGAAGGGGCACCACAGGAGAAGCAGCAUUGCCCAAUCACAGACUUCCUCUGCCCUGGGCCAGGAACCCUUUGGAGAGAGGGCUGUGGCCACUUUACAGAACUGCUCCCCACCGAGCAAGACAGAAAACCCUUCUGGGCUUAGGAAUGUCUUCUCCUGGUUUUCAGUUGCUGUUGUGUCAGGAAGUCCUCCGGCUGCCUGCCCUCAACUCAAGACUUCCUGCUUGACUCUGUUGGCCCUGGAGGGCACACUUGGGAUUGCUGGGGGAAAGGUCAUUCCAGGAACUUCUAACCCUCCGGUAUCCAUUGCUACAUCUUCCUGCUCCUCUAGCUCAUAGCUUCCUGUUCCAAUUUUAACGCAUCUGGAGAAGAAUCAAGCAGGACCUUGGGUAUAAUAAUACUGAUAAUAACAGCACCUGGCAUUUGUCUACCACUCUCUGUAUGAACACUGAAGUGUUUCCAUGUCUUUAAUUAAAAAAAGAAUUUUAUCAGUGCUCCUACAGCUAUUUCUACAUGGUUAGAGUCAAUGUGUAUGAAUACUUAUAUGUUCUGAGGCUUUUUUUUUUUUUACUUUUUUUUUUGGUCUUUUUUUUUAGGGCUGCACCUGCAGUAUAUGGAAGUUCCCAGGC